rnacentral:rRNA from 1 species
GACAGAGGGGGCAAGCGUUGCUCGGAAUCACUGGGCGUAAAGGGCGCGUAGGCGGGAUGGCAAGUCGGUCGUGAAAGCCUUCGGCUCAACCGAAGAACGUCGGCCGAAACUGCCAUUCUUGAGGGAUGCAGAGGAGACUGGAAUUCCCGGUGUAGCGGUGAAAUGUGUAGAGAUCGGGAGGAACACCGGUGGCGAAGGCGGGCCUCUGGGCAUCUCCUGACGCUGAGGCGCGAAAGCGUGGGGAGCAAACGGG